rnacentral:rRNA from 1 species
UAAAUCAGUUAUCGUUUAUUUGAUAGUACCUUACUACAUGGAUACCUGUGGUAAUUCUAGAGCUAAUACAUGCUAAAAACCUCGACUUCGGAAGGGGUGUAUUUAUUAGAUAAAAAACCAACGCCCUUCGGGGCUCCUUGGUGAAUCAUAAUAACUAAGCGAAUCGCAUGGCCUUGCGCCGGCGAUGGUUCAUUCAAAUUUCUGCCCUAUCAACUUUCGAUGGUAGGAUAGUGGCCUACCAUGGUGGCAACGGGUAACGGGGAAUUAGGGUUCGAUUCCGGAGAGGGAGCCUGAGAAACGGCUACCACAUCCAAGGAAGGCAGCAGGCGCGCAAAUUACCCAAUCCCGACACGGGGAGGUAGUGACAAUAAAUACUGAUACGGGGCUCUUUUGGGUCUCGUAAUUGGAAUGAGUACAAUCUAAAUCCCUUAACGAGGAACAAUUGGAGGGCAAGUCUGGUGCCAGCAGCCGCGGUAAUUCCAGCUCCAAUAGCGUAUAUUAAAGUUGUUGCAGUUAAAAAGCUCGUAGUUGAACCUUGGGUCUGGCUGGCCGGUCCGCCUCACCGCGAGUACUGGUCCGGCUGGACCUUUCCUUCUGGGGAACCUCAUGGCCUUCACUGGCUGUGGGGGGAACCAGGACUUUUACUGUGAAAAAAUUAGAGUGUUCAAAGCAGGCCUUUGCUCGAAUACAUUAGCAUGGAAUAAUAGAAUAGGACGUGCGGUUCUAUUUUGUUGGUUUCUAGGACCGCCGUAAUGAUUAAUAGGGAUAGUCGGGGGCGUCAGUAUUCAGCUGUCAGAGGUGAAAUUCUUGGAUUUGCUGAAGACUAACUACUGCGAAAGCAUUCGCCAAGGAUGUUUUCAUUAAUCAGGGAACGAAAGUUAGGGGAUCGAAGACGAUCAGAUACCGUCGUAGUCUUAACCAUAAACUAUGCCGACUAGGGAUCGGGCGGUGUUUCUAUAAUGACCCGCUCGG